GACGAACGUUGGCGGCGUGCUUAAUACAUGCAAGUCAACUGAAGCAGUGGUAGCAAUAUCGCUGUGGAGGUGGCGCACGGGUGAGUAACACGUAGGUAAUCUGCCUUCAGGUCUGGCAUAACUCCGGGAAACCGGGGCUAAUAGCAGAUGAUGCAGCGGCUCGACAUCGAGACAGUUGUUAAAGCUAUGGCGCCUGAAGAUGAGCCUGCGUCUGAUUAGCUAGUUGGCGGGGUAACGGCCCACCAAGGCAACGAUCAGUAGCUGGUCUGAGAGGAUGAUCAGCCACACUGGAACUGAGACACGGUCCAGACUCCUACGGGAGGCAGCAGUAAGGAAUAUUGCUCAAUGGGAGAAAUCAUGAAGCAGCAACGCCGCGUGAGGGACGAAGGGCUUUUGCUUGUAAACCUCUGUAGUGAGAGAAAAAAAUCCCAAUCUUUGGGACAUGAUGGUAUCUCAAAAGUAAGCCCCGGCUAACUACGUG
rnacentral:rRNA from 1 species